rnacentral:ncRNA from 1 species
GGUUAAGCGAAUAAGCGUACACGGUGGAUGCCCUGGCAGUCAGAGGCGAUGAAGGACGUGCUAAUCUGCGAAAAGCGCCGGUAAGGUGAUAUGAACCGUUAUAACCGGCGAUGUCCGAAUGGGGAAACCCGGUGCACUCAGUGCAUCAUCGUAUGAUGAAUCCAUAGUCAUACGAGGCGAACCGGGGGAACUGAAACAUCUAAGUACCCCGAGGAAAAGAAAUCAACCGAGAUUCCCCCAGUAGCGGCGAGCGAACGGGGAGCAGCCCAGAGCCUGAAUCAGCGAGUGCAUUAGUGGAAGCGUCUGGAAAGUCGCGCGACACAGGGUGAAAGCCCCGUACACAAAAGUGCACCCGCUGUGAGCUCGAAGAGUAGGGCGGGACACGUGGUAUCCUGUCUGAACACGGGGGGACCAUCCUCCAAGGCUAAAUACUCCUGACUGACCGAUAGUGAACCAGUACCGUGAGGGAAAGGCGAAAAGAACCCCGGCGAGGGGAGUGAAAAAGAACCUGAAACCGUGUACGUACAAGCAGUGGGAGCC